GAUGAAGAACGUAGCGAAAUGCGAUAAGUAAUGUGAAUUGCAGAAUUCAGUGAAUCAUCGAAUCUUUGAACGCACCUUGCGCUCUUUGGUAUUCCGAAGAGCAUGCCUGUUUGAGUGUCAUGAAAAUAUCAACCUUGACUUGGGUUUUGUGCUCUAGUCUCGGCUUGGAAUUGGGUGCUUGCCGCUUUUACGAGCGGCUCACCUUAAAUGUAUUAGCUGGAUCUGUCUUUGAGACUUGGUUUGACUUGGCGUAAUAAGUAUUUCGCUAAGGACAUUCUUCGGAGUGGCCUCGUUUCUAGGACGCUUGUCCGCUUUCCAAUACAAGUUCCACCUCGUGGACAUGACUUUUUAUUAUCUGGCCUCAAAUCAGGUAGGACUACCCGCUGAACUUAAGCAUAUCAUAAGCGGAGGA
rnacentral:misc_RNA from 1 species